CUGCCCAGGAACGUCCACCUCUUCCGGCUUCUCUCGUGCCUGAACCCGUGGCAGCGGUGCCAGCGCAGAGCACAGGGCCGCCCCUUGCCCUCCCUGAACCCUGCGUGUCUUUCGUUUCCAGCUAACGCUGACCAUCGUGCGGCAGACGGGCGGCCUGGGCAUCAGCAUUGCAGGUGGCAAGGGCUCCACCCCCUACAAGGGAGACGACGAGGGCAUCUUCAUUUCUCGGGUGUCGGAGGAGGGCCCCGCCGCCCGGGCUGGAGUCCGAGUGGGGGACAAGCUCCUGGAGGUGAACGGCGUGGCCUUGCACAGCGCCGAGCACCACCAGGCCGUGGAGGCGCUGCGGGGGGCGGGCGCCACCGUGCAGAUGCGGCUGUGGCGAGAGCGCAUGGUGGAGCCCGAGAACGCGGUCACGCUCACCCCUCUGCGG